AAUCUUCUCGUGCUUCUUGUAGUACCAGUUUUUCCAGAAAGCAUAUUCUCUGAUUCAUCAGAGUGGUCCUCUCUUUUUGCACAUCAGAAAUUUUUCUCCUCUGCACAUCCUUUUCUCUUUUCUCCAUCUGCACAUCCUUGCUGAGAUCCUCAGAAAUAGAAGCUAAGAUGGGCUUUUAUUCAGCAUAUCUUUACCGAGUGCAUACUAUUUGCCAUUCAUGUUUCUAGAUGCUGAAGAUAGAGUAUGGAGUCUCUAGAAACCAUCUCUGUUGCCAUGAUUCUUACUCUCUAACAAGGAAGAUUGACAUUGAACAAGUGAUUUCAGCUCUUAUGAAUAGUGCUACUAUGAACACUGGCAACCCUUAGUCUCAUUUAACAAGUGUGAUGAAGGAAUUCACCUCAUCACAUGGAGGCAUGGAAGACAACUAAGCCUGACCCCAGGGUUGACGUCCUGGCCCAAAGCCUAGAA
rnacentral:lncRNA from 1 species